AGACAAAAGAUAAACAGUAAACAAAAAAAAUUAAAUUGUCUAUUCAAGUACAACAAUAAGACAACUAGCUAUAGGCAAUUUGAAUUCUCAUGCUGUGUUUCCGGUAAGUUAUAUGCACUUUACAGAGAAAGUAUCACCAAGGAAAGGACUGUUGCUUCAUCGUCUGAGCUGGGAG